GCGGGAAUAGCUCAGUUGGUAGAGCACGAUCGUGCCAAGGUCGGGGUCGCGAGUUCGAAUCUCGUUUCCCGCUCCA
rnacentral:tRNA from 1 species